UACAGAGGGGGCAAGCGUUAUUCGGAAUUACUGGGCGUAAAGGGCGCGUAGGCGGCCUUCUAAGUCGAACGUGAAAUCCCUGGGCUCAACCCAGGAACUGCGUCCGAUACUGGAAGGCUUGAAUCCGGGAGAGGGAUGCGGAAUUCCAGGUGUAGCGGUGAAAUGCGUAGAUAUCUGGAGGAACACCGGUGGCGAAGGCGGCAUCCUGGACCGGUAUUGACGCUGAGGCGCGAAAGCCAGGGGAGCAAACGGG
rnacentral:rRNA from 1 species